rnacentral:rRNA from 1 species
GAUGAACGCUGGCGGCGUGCCUAAUACAUGCAAGUCGAGCGAACAGACGAGGAGCUUGCUCCUCUGACGUUAGCGGCGGACGGGUGAGUAACACGUGGAUAACCUACCUAUAAGACUGGGAUAACUUCGGGAAACCGGAGCUAAUACCGGAUAAUAUAUUGAACCGCAUGGUUCAAUAGUGAAAGACGGUUUCGCUGUCACUUAUAGAUGGAUCCGCGCCGCAUUAGCUAGUUGGUAAGGUAACGGCUUACCAAGGCAACGAUGCGUAGCCGACCUGAGAGGGUGAUCGGCCACACUGGAACUGAGACACGGUCCAGACUCCUACGGGAGGCAGCAGUAGGGAAUCUUCCGCAAUGGGCGAAAGCCUGACGGAGCAACGCCGCGUGAGUGAUGAAGGUCUUCGGAUCGUAAAACUCUGUUAUUAGGGAAGAACAAAUGUGUAAGUAACUAUGCACGUCUUGACGGUACCUAAUCAGAAAGCCACGGCUAACUACGUG